GAUGGACGCUGGCGGCGUGCCUAAUACAUGCAAGUCGAGCGAACAGACGAGGAGCUUGCUCCUCUGACGUUAGCGGCGGACGGGUGAGUAACACGUGGAUAACCUACCUAUAAGACUGGGAUAACUUCGGGAAACCGGAGCUAAUACCGGAUAAUAUAUUGAACCGCAUGGUUCAAUAGUGAAAGACGGUUUUGCUGUCACUUAUAGAUGGAUCCGCGCCGCAUUAGCUAGUUGGUAAGGUAACGGCUUACCAAGGCAACGAUGCGUAGCCGACCUGAGAGGGUGAUCGGCCACGCUGGAACUGAGACACGGUCCAGACUCCUGCGGGAGGCAGCAGUAGGGAAUCUUCCGCAAUGGGCGAAAGCCUGACGGAGCAACGCCGCGUGAGUGAUGAAGGUCUUCGGAUCGUAAAACUCUGUUAUUAGGGAAGAACGAAUGUGUAAGUAACUAUGCACGUCUUGACGGUACCUAAUCAGAAAGCCACGGCUAACUACGUG
rnacentral:rRNA from 1 species